AUUGGGGAUGUGUGUGUGCAACAGUGUUAUUGGGGAUGUGUGUGUGCAACAGUGUUCGCCCACCAUUGCACACACACACACACACACACACACACACACACACACCUCCUUCUCUGGCCAGCAUCCAGUCUAAGACCAUUCUAUUCUGCGUUGCCAUCUUUGAUGUGUGGCAUCCACCUGUUCUCCCAAGGAGGCUAUGUGGAGGAGUGUGUGUGGACAGGGCGUCUGUGGUGUAGUUAAUAAACCGUUGUUGAUUGUAGUAGAUGUAAUGAAUCCACUCCCAUGCUUUGGCGAUGCCCAGGUUGUUAUGAGAGCUUCAAGAAUCCCUCCGUAUAUUUCGCUGCGUGCUUUAUACUCAUGGGGAAAAUACCUCGGGGUUGUCCUAUGCCGUUUUAAGUACACUCUGGGGUCCUUCUCAUAACCACCUACCCCCCCUUUUCCCCCCGUCUAACUCCAGUGUCAACCUUGCAGCUGUUAUUUUCAUAUACUACAAAAGUCUCUUGCAUCGCCAUGACUCGUGCACAUCCCCCGGUCCAGUCUUCUGGAAGGGUGUGGCGUACGUCCCAGUCAGGACCACAGGCCCACCACAUGUCUGCUGGGGGAACAUAUUUGACCUUUGACCCAGCGUCGCAUAGGUAUUAGUAGUCUGAGCUGAACAUCUUUGACCUUUGACCCAGCGAUGCAUAGGUAUUAGUAGUCUGAGCUGAACAUCUUUGACCUUUGACCCAGCGAUGCAUAGGUAUUAGUAGUCUGAGCUGAACAUCUUUGACCUUUGACCCAGCGUCGCAUAGGUAUUAGUAGUCUGGUUGCCCACAUUGACAUUUAGUCAUUUAGCAGACGCCUUUAUCCAAAGCGACUUACAAGGAUGUAUACACAUUUUUACAUUUACACUGAUGGCACACUGCACAUCAGGAGCAAUUAGGGGUUCAGUGUCUUGCUCAAGGACGCUUCGACAGGGAAUCGAACUAGCAACCUUCUGCUUCCUAAACGACUUCUUUACCUCCUGUACCACUGUCGCCCAUUUAUACCAUGUAUUACCCUGGGCCUGUCUCCCCAGCUAGAAGGGUCCCUCUCCUGUUGGUAAAGAUGGAGAAGGCACGAAAGAAAAGAGAAACGCUACGAACAGCAUCAUACCCACCAGCGGCAGGAGCUUCUGGAGCCCCAGGUCUUUCCGGUUCUGCUUCCCGCUCCUGCUCUAGAUCGUUCCCUUCGGGAACACCCUCAUUUUUGGCAUGCAGCUCAUGCCCUGGCCUGGCUGCCGUCUCUCCUUCUUCCAGUGGCUCUGUGGCUCUGAAGGGGUAUUAAAGGGGGUACCACACCUCUGGUCCCUGCACUCUUACCGCCGUUUGAGUGGCUUCUGUCACCCUGUAUGAUCCCUCGGACCUUGGCUGAAGGCAAGACCUUUUGAACACCUUCAGGUACCCCCAGUCUCCUGGUUGUACUGGCCUUCUGAUUCCUGCCUCCAGGGCCGGUGGUGGUUCCUGCUGCUUCGCCUUCGUGUGUAAAUAACUUUUGUGAAUCAGAGUUGAUUGUUGCACAGAAUGGCAAAGUUCUUUUUUGGAACUGCUCCAGAGGGGGUCCCCUGCUUGGCUCCCUGAUCCGUGGGACUGGCAUUGGUCGCCCUGUAAGAAUCUUGUGAGGGGUGAGGUGUGUGCUGCGGUUUUGCUGCGAGCGCAUUUGCAUUAGAGCAAUGGGCAAAGCAUCCAGCCAGUUGAGGUAAGAGCCGGCACAGAUUUUAGCCAUUUUCAGCAUGGCAUUUGCUCUCUCCGCCAUCCCCUGACUUCGGGCAUCUUUCGCACUUACACAUGUGUAAGUUGCUCCGGUAUCUACCAUUAGUGAAAUUUCUCCGCCCCCAAUUUGAACCUGCAGCGUAGGUUCCUUUGCAGCUCCCCUUGAUAAAUUCGGAAACUGACCCUCCUCGUUAAGAUUCUCUCGCCCCCAUCAAUAGUAAUCGCCCCCCUAAGGGUCCGUUGGGUCCACCCUGCAUCGCAGAGCCGUCUCCCUUUACGGCGGGCAGCCAUUUUGUUGUAAGGCAACCAUUUUGUCACAGAAUCUAACUUGUUUUCAGAUGUCCAUGUCCCAGCGUCAGUAGUUUAAAACACAAUAAUCUCUCCACUUAAAUGGCAACAUCUGGAAAGUGACAACACCCAUACAUCUAAAACUGCUGAAAACAUCAGGAACAUUUAGCAUUUUUAGCUAAAAACAAUAUAAUUCAAUGCAACAUUCACAAAUACAUAUAUA
ensembl:lncRNA